rnacentral:rRNA from 1 species
GAAACCGUUCAGGGGUAAACCUGAGAAACCCAAAAGUUCGAAUGGGGAGAUUCAUCGGCAGCCAGGCUGGCUCCUGUUGGUGCGUGAUACCCUGACUUUGGGCCUUCGUGGUUCCAAUGCCGAGGGCACACCAUCUUCGGCGAACGUUCCGGCUAUAGGCAGUCGUGCACUUCUCCCUUAGUAGAACGUCGCGACCCGUUGCGUGUCGGUCUACGGCCCGAGUUGUUUGCCUGGCGCGUCGUCUUGUGCGUACGCGUCAGACGCUCGAUAGCUCGACCGGCUGCGUGACGGUACUCUGACGGUAUCGGGCAGCAACCAAUCCAUUUUCGAAUGUACGUGCGUCAGGCCCACCGCAAGCUCGAUCAGUUUACCCGGAGGUACGGACCUGGUGCCGUCCCCGGGCCUGGCCAGCUGUUAGCAGGUGGUGUCCUUGGACUGGCCAAGCUUCGAAUUACCGGUCGGCGACGCUACUGCUUUGGGUACUCUCAGGACCCGUCUUGAAACACGGACCAAGGAGUCUAACAUGUGCGCGAGUCAUUGGGAUAUUACAAACCUAAAGGCGCAAUGAAAGUGAAGGUUGGCCUCUGUGUCGACCGAGGGAGGAUGGGCCGCGUUAAUAUUUGCGGCCUCGCACUCCCGGGGCGUCUCGUUCUCAUUGCGAGAAGAGGCGCACCCAGAGCGUACACGUUGGGACCCGAAAGAUGGUGAACUAUGCCUGGUCAGGACGAAGUCAGGGGAAACCCUGAUGGAGGUCCGUAGCGAUUCUGACGUGCAAAUCGAUCGUCGGAACUGGGUAUAGGGGCGAAAGACUAAUCGAACCAUCUAGUAGCUGGUUCCCUCCGAAGUUUCCCUCAGGAUAGCUGGCACUCGCUCGUUCCUACGUUGAACGCAUGCGAGUCUCAUCUGGUAAAGCGAAUGAUUAGAGGCCUUGGGGCCGAAACGACCUCAACCUAUUCUCAAACUUUAAAUGGGUGAGAUCUCUGGCUUGCUUGAAUUACUAUGAAGCCACGAGAUUUUGGAUCAGAGUGCCAAGUGGGCCAAUUUUGGUAAGCAGAACUGGCGCUGUGGGAUGAACCAAACGCAGAGUUAAGGCGCCUAAGUCGACGCUUAUGGGAUACCAUGAAAGGCGUUGGUUGCUUAAGACAGCAGGACGGUGGCCAUGGAAGUCGGAA